rnacentral:rRNA from 1 species
GGAUUAGUGGCGAACGGGUGAGUAACACGUGGGCAAUCUGCCCUUCACUCUGGGACAAGCCCUGGAAACGGGGUCUAAUACCGGAUAACACUCUGUCCCGCAUGGGACGGGGUUAAAAGCUCCGGCGGUGAAGGAUGAGCCCGCGGCCUAUCAGCUUGUUGGUGGGGUAAUGGCCUACCAAGGCGACGACGGGUAGCCGGCCUGAGAGGGCGACCGGCCACACUGGGACUGAGACACGGCCCAGACUCCUACGGGAGGCAGCAGUGGGGAAUAUUGCACAAUGGGCGAAAGCCUGAUGCAGCGACGCCGCGUGAGGGAUGACGGCCUUCGGGUUGUAAACCUCUUUCAGCAGGGAAGAAGCGAAAGUGACGGUACCUGCAGAAGAAGCGCCGGCUAACUACGUGCCAGCAGCCGCGGUAAUACGUAGGGCGCAAGCGUUGUCCGGAAUUAUUGGGCGUAAAGAGCUCGUAGGCGGCUUGUCACGUCGGAUGUGAAAGCCCGGGGCUUAACCCCGGGUCUGCAUUCGAUACGGGCUAGCUAGAGUGUGGUAGGGGAGAUCGGAAUUCCUGGUGUAGCGGUGAAAUGCGCAGAUAUCAGGAGGAACACCGGUGGCGAAGGCGGAUCUCUGGGCCAUUACUGACGCUGAGGAGC